rnacentral:rRNA from 1 species
UACGGAGGGGGCUAGCGUUGUUCGGAUUUACUGGGCGUAAAGGGCGCGUAGGCGGCCAGCACAAGUCAGUUGUGAAAUCUCCGAGCUUAACUCGGAAAGGUCAACUGAUACUGUGCGGCUAGAGUGCGGAAGGGGCAACUGGAAUUCUUGGUGUAGCGGUGAAAUGCGUAGAUAUCAAGAGGAACACCUGCGGCGAAGGCGGGUUGCUGGGCCGACACUGACGCUGAGGCGCGAAAGCCAGGGGAGCGAACGGG